rnacentral:rRNA from 1 species
UACGAAGGGGGCUAGCGUUAAUCGGAAUUACUGGGCGUAAAGCGUGCGUAGACGGUUACGUAAGUCGGGUGUGAAAGCCCCGGGCUCAACCUGGGAAUUGCAUUCGAGACUGUGUAGCUAGGGUGCGGAAGAGGGAAGCGGAAUUUCCGGUGUAGCGGUGAAAUGCGUAGAUAUCGGAAGGAACAUCAGUGGCGAAAGCGGCUUCCUGGUCCAGCACCGACGUUCAGGCACGAAAGCGUGGGGAGCAAACAGG